rnacentral:rRNA from 1 species
GAUGAACGCUGGCGGCGUGCCUAACACAUGCAAGUCGAGCGAACGGACGAGAAGUUUGCUUUUCUGAUGUUAGCGGCGGGCGGGAGAGUAACACGUGGAAAACCCACCUAUAAGACGGGGAUAACUUCGGAAAACCGGAGCUAAUACCGGAUAAUAUUUUGAACCGCAUGGUUCAAAAGUGAGAUACGGUCUUGAGGUCAGUUUUAGAUGGAACCGCGCUGCAUUAGCUAGUUGGUAAGGUAACGGCUUACCAAGGCAACGAUGCAUAGCCGACCUGAGAGGGUGAUCGGCCACACUGGAAGUGAGACACGGACCCGACUCCUACGGGAGGACGCAGUAGGGAAUCUUACGCAAUGGGGGAAAGCCUGACAGAGCAGGGGCGCGUGAGUGAUGACGGUGCUCGGAUCGUAAAGCUCUGUUAUUAGGGAGGAACAUAUGUGUACGUAACUGUGCACAUCUUGACGGUACCUAAUGAGAAAGCCACGGCUAACUACGUG